AGAACUGUUGUCAUGUUUGCAGCAAGACAAAAUGACGAGUUGGUUGUAAGCGAAUGUUAGGUCGGUGAAAAAUCACUCCCAAAACCUAAGAAUGAAUGAGGCGUCUUGCUUCUUUUAUAGUCCUUCAUGUCGUGGUUAGUUUCAUCCACUUCCAACUUCUAGAACGUUCUUAUAACUGCUACAAUCCACCUCCAAAAACUGCUAGUCUACUAGUCUUGAAUGUUGGUUGAAAUUAAGAUCAUGGGUCCUGAAAAAUAUGAACAAACACCCCACUACUUUGGACCAUGAAUAACCAUCUUUCCACUUAUUAGAAACGUGCGUGGUCAACAAGCAUAAAACCUUUAUUUCACAACCAAAGAAUAAUAAAACGUAAAAAGAAGGUAAAGAUUAAAUAUAUACAAUUACCAAUAGAGAGUUAAAGUAUGGAGUCAAGGCUGACUUCGGAAUGUUGGUUGAAGGCCAGAAAUGUUGACACCAUGAAUGUUAUCAACAUUCAACCCAACAUAUAUUGAAAACACGAAUGUUAUCAAUAUUCAACCCAACAUUGUCGGAGUCAACAUUGACUCUAACACUAGUUUCACGUUGUGUGAUGCACGGCUCGUACGAUGCGAUGUACGGGGAAUAUUAUUCUUUUAAAAAUAAAUAUCAAAUAAAAAAUUAUAUUUAAAUUUAGUUAUUUAAUAAAUUUUUAGGUUGUACUAGUAUUGUCUCUGAAAGUGUUGCUUCCUCAAAACGUGAUGUGACACACAAUGUUUAGAGAACACACAAGAACUCAUAGAGUAAAAAAUGCAGCAGAAAAAAAAAUGAAACACAAGAAUGGAAAAAUUCUUCAAGUUAUAUAAAUAUAACUUGAAGACGCCUUAUGGCAAAAUUACUAAACGAGAAUGGACACAACUCACGUUUAAUACCUUUACAAUGACUUAGGUAUUGGACUAGGAACACUCUCACAAAAGAACACAAAUUGGAUUCAAGGGCUAUACUCCGAAAUCCGACGAAAACAAUGAGUGUUAAACAGAAUGUUUAAUUGAGCACCUAGCAGAACACUCGUACACAAACAACAAGCUUUUAUCUCGAAAAUCCACAC
rnacentral:lncRNA from 1 species